rnacentral:rRNA from 1 species
GACGCACGCUGGCGGCGUGCCUAAUACAUGCAAGUAGAACGCAGUUGAGAACGGGUGAGUAACGCGUAGGUAACUGCCUCAUAGCAGGGGAGAACGAUUGGAAAAGAUAGAUAAUACCGCAUACUAUGAGAAGGACCUGCGUUGUAUUAGCUAGUUGGUGAGGUAAAGGUUCACCAAGGCGACGAUACAUAGCAGACCUGAGAGGUUGAUCGGCCACACUGGGACUGGGAAUCGGCCCAGAAUCCGACGGGCGGCAGCAGUAGGGAAUCUUCGUCAAUGGACCGAAGUCGGACCGAGCAACGCCGCCUGAGUGAAGAAGGUUUUCGGAUCGGUAAGCUUUGUUGUUAGAGAACCGGUAACUAACCAGAAAGGGACGGCUAACUACGUGCCAGCAGCCGCGGUAAUAC